rnacentral:tRNA from 1 species
GCCCGGUAGUUAAUCAAGUAGUAUAAUAUCGAGUUGCAAACUUGAAGAAGCAUAGAGUGCUCGGGUC